UGCUUUUUCCAAUAAGCGGAGGAAAAGAAACCAACAGGGAUUGCCUUAGUAACGGCGAGUGAAGCGGCAAAAGCUCAAAUUUGAAAUCUGGCACCUUCGGUGUCCGAGUUGUAAUUUGAAGAAGGUAACUUUGGAGUUGGCUCUUGUCUAUGUUCCUUGGAACAGGACGUCACAGAGGGUGAGAAUCCCGUGCGAUGAGAUGCCCAAUUCUAUGUAAAGUGCUUUCGAAGAGUCGAGUUGUUUGGGAAUGCAGCUCUAAGUGGGUGGUAAAUUCCAUCUAAAGCUAAAUAUUGGCGAGAGACCGAUAGCGAACAAGUACAGUGAUGGAAAGAUGAAAAGAACUUUGAAAAGAGAGUGAAAAAGUACGUGAAAUUGUUGAAAGGGAAGGGCUUGAGAUCAGACUUGGUAUUUUGCGAUCCUUUCCUUCUUGGUUGGGUUCCUCGCAGCUUACUGGGCCAGCAUCGGUUUGGAUGGUAGGAUAAUGACUAAGGAAUGUGGCUCUACUUCGGUGGAGUGUUAUAGCCUUGGUUGAUACUGCCUGUCUAGACCGAGGACUGCGUCUUGACUAGGAUGCUGAA
rnacentral:rRNA from 1 species